CGUGUACACGUAAUCAGGAAGUGAGGGAAGUGAGGGAAGUGAACUGGACUUUUGCUUCAUUCGCACUGGAUUGCAGCUGGCAUAAUGAUUCAUGGAUAUAGUCCAGUGGUCCAGGCACUCUUGGGGACACUCUUCACUUGGGGACUAACAGCAACAGGAGCUGCUCUUGUUUUUCUGUUUGUUACUGGUGAGAAAAGAAUCUUAGAUGGCAGUCUGGGAUUUGCUGCAGGGGUAAGU